UUGGUUCUUUCUGCUGCCGUAAUAGACAGCGGGUGGCGGUUCGCGUGAGCACGGAGCCCGCGGUUUCCCGCUAGUUUUUUAAAGAUAAUUACGACUGGAAGAGAAAAUGGAAAAGCAGAAGCCCUUUAAAUUGUUUGUACCACCGAGAUUAAGUAGCAGUCAAGUAUCUGCAGUGAAACCUCAGACUUUGGGAGGAGAUUCUAAUUUCUUCAAGGGUUUCAACAAAUGUGUUGAAGAUGAUUUUGGUUUUCCAUUUGCAAUGACUAAUUUCUCCAAAAAUGGGAAAAACAUUGAUUCAGAUCCUGCUUUACAAAAAGUUGACUUUUUGCCCAUGCUUGAACAGGUUGAUAAUUCUGACAGUUGUCAUUACCAGGAGGGACUAAAAGACUCUGAUUUUGAGAAUUCAGAGCCAAUGAGCAGACUAUAUUCAAAACUGUAUAAGGAGGCUGAAAAGAUCAAGAAGUGGAAAGUGAGUGUAGAAUCUGAACUGAAGCAGAAAGAAAACAAGUUACAAGAAAAUAGAAAAAUAAUUGAAGCACAGCGGAAAGCCAUUCAAGAACUACAGUUUGAAAAUGAAAAAGUAAGUUUGAAAUUAGAAGAAGGAAUUCAAGAAAAUAAAGAUUUAAUAAAAGAGAAUAAUGCUACAAGGCAUUUAUGUAAUCUACUCAAAGAAACUUGUGCCAGAUCUGCUGAAAAGACAAAGAAAUAUGAAUAUGAGCGGGAAGAAACUAGGCAAGUUUAUGUGGACCUAAAUAGUAACAUUGAGAAAAUGAUAAUAGCUUUUGAGGAACUUCGUGUGCAAGCUGAGAAUUCCAGACUGGAAAUCCAUUUUAAGGUAAAGGAAGAUUAUGAAAAAAUCCAACAUCUUGAUGAACAAUACAAGAAGGAAGUAAAUAACAAGGAAAAGCAGGUAUCACUGCUAUUGAUCCAAAGUACUGAGAAAGAAAAUAAAAUGAAAGAGUUAACAUUUCUGCUAGAGGAGUCCAGAGAUAAAGUUAAUCAAUUAGAGGAAAAGACAAAAUUACAGAAUGAAAACUUAAAAGAAUCAAAUGAGAAGAAGGAUCAUUUGACAUCAGAACUAGAAGAUAUUAAAAUGUCUUUGCAAAGAAGUGUGAGUACUCAAAAGGCUUUAGAGGAAGAUUUACAAAUAGCAACAAAAAAAAUAUAUCAGCUCACUGGAGAAAAAGAAGCGCAAAUGGAAGAAUUUAUUGAAGCUAAAGCUGCCCAUUCAUUUAUGGUUACUGAACUUAAAACUACUACUUGCAACUUGAAAGAAUUAUUGACAACAGAACAGCAAAGAUUGGAAAGAAGUGAAGAUCAAUUGAAAGCACUUACCAUCGAGCUUCAGAAGAAAUCAAGUGAUCUGGGUAAGUUUUAGAGAAUAACAUAUGUACAUGAUAAUAUUAGCCAAUUAUAA